UGCUUAUUCUUACAGUACCGUCAUGAGCCCCUAGUAUUAAUAGAGACCUUUUCGUUCUGUACAAAAGCAGUUUACAACCCGAAGGCCUUCGUCCUGCACGCGGAAUGGCUGGAUCAGACUUGCGUCCAUUGUCCAAAAUUCCCCA
rnacentral:rRNA from 1 species